AGCGUAGGCGGGUUAUUAAGUAAUAUGUGAAAACCCCAGGCUUAACCUGGGAGGUGCAUGUUAAACUGGUAAUCUUGAGUGCAGGAGAGGGAAGCGGAAUUCCUAGUGUAGCGGUGAAAUGCGUAGAUAUUAGGAGGAACACCAGUGGCGAAGGCGGCUUUCUGGACUGUAACUGACGCUGAGGCUCGAAAGCGUGGGGAGCAAACAGGAUUAGAUACCCUGGUAGUCCACGCUGUAAACGAUGGAUACUAGGUGUAGGGGGUAUCAACUCCCUCUGUGCCGGAGUUAACGCAAUAAGUAUCCCGCCUGGGGAGUACGGCCGCAAGGUUGAA
rnacentral:rRNA from 1 species